GAAAAGUGUUGCUGUGACUCAGAAGUGAAAGGACCGGUAUUCUGCACUGCUAUGAUCAUCUAUCUAGCAAUUUGAAAGUUAAGGUACUUGAUACCGUAGGCAAAGACAAAGAAGAAGAGGAGGACCCAACCAACAUGAGCAACCACUACAGGAAUGAGGAAGUCAUAGUCAUAACCCAAAUACUCCUUGAGGAAAACAUUCACUGCUUGUUUUCCUCCGGUAGGCAAGUCGAUCUCCUUCUUCAAGUCACCAACUUGAGAUCCGAAGAUGCCAUAGAUGGUCCAAGCAACUGGAGAACCCCAGUAAUACCACCUCCACCAGAUGGGGAUAAGCUGCAGUAUUGAGCAUAAGUGUUAAAAGAUGGUUUUUGGGACAAAACAAAUGCAGUAAAACACAUGCAAUGAGUCCUGUAUAUUAAGUUAAAGUGCAAGGCAUACCGGUCUAGGGAUGAGGAAACCAGAGAACAAGUUCCAGAAGCUCAUGAAGAAAGACAUGACAAUUGCAGCAAUUUGAUGGCCAGGAGUUAGGGCAACCACCAUCAUCCCGUACAUUGAGAAGUAGGUAAAGCACAUGAAAAUGAAGUAGUAGAAGUACAAAAAUUUCUCCACCUUCCAGUUGUACCCGAUCAUAGAAUACAGAAGACAGGAAUACACAAAGGUUUGGAUUGCAACGUAAAUCGUCUCAAUAGCCACCUGCAGCACCAGAAACACAUUGAUGAUCCAUGCGAUUUCAAUUUGAUACAAAGAUCAAAUAUACUGAGCUUAAUUUCUAAUAUCUUACCUGAGCAAAUGCAUAAGGCAACUCUGAGUACAUUCCUGCAGCUCUUUCACGGUAGAAAACUGUUCGCUCAACUGCCACUACAGAUUGCACGGCAGAGGCAUUGCUAGCUCCGAGGAAAAGAACAGCAGCAUAGGUAGCUCCCAAAAGAUUGAUCAGGUCUUGUUGUUUGUUUCUGUUAACAAUAUAAAAUGCAUUUAAUCAUCACAUAAUUAAGAAUGAUAGCAAAUUACAUCGACUCAAAAACAAAUGUCUGGAAAAGGAGAAAUCAAUCCAGUGGUUCACAAAUUCAACAAAGCAAUAAAAAAAAUGUAGCUCAUAAUAAAGUCCUCAAACUUACAUUUGGUCUCCUUUGCUCCAGAAGAUCACACCGAAUAAUAUGCCAAUGCAAACCGUCAUGAAA